CAAGUAUGGAUCCAAGUCAUGAAUCGGAGGAAGAUGCUGGAGAAUCAGAUGAAAAGAAUCCAGGUGACCAUGUGAGACCAAGAUUAACUUGUGUUGGUAGAAAUGGUGCAGAGCUUAAUUCUUCACUGAGAGAAGUUGACGAGGACGUAGGAAACAGUGCAGAAAAGAAUUUGGCUACUGCAUGUAAACGAAAUAAAAGCANNNNNAAUAUGGAUAGCGAUGGUACUACUCAGGUUCAUGAGAGAGUUGGUGAAUCCACAUGGAGUCAUGGAGGGGGAGUAUUCAGGCUAAAUAGUCAGAAUACAUCAAGGAACCAGUUAGGUGCUACCAGCUCAGUAGCUAGUGAUUGGAAUAGUCAAGCAGCUUUACGAUCUGAAUCACUUCCCGGGCUUGUUAUAUUGCCGCCUUUUUCUUCAGGGAGAGAGCCAUCUGUUAUCGACUUUGAGACGGAAAAACUGUGGCGCUAUCAGGAUCCAUCUGGAAAAUUUCAAGGGCCAUUCUCCAUGCUCCAGCUGCGUAAAUGGAAAACCAGUGGGCUUUUCCCUCCUGAUUUCAGAGUAUGGAGAAUAUAUGAGAAGCAAGAUGACUCUAUUCUUUUGACUGAUGCAUUGGUUGGCCGGUUCCCUAAAGGGCCGCUUCAGCAUUGCAGCAGUUAUUUACUGCCUCAGGAAACAACAGUUGCGUCUAAUGAUGCAUGUAAAAGGUGGGGACAUGGGCUCAGUCAGAGUACUGAUGUAACUUGGAUAGACAAUAAAGGAGUUGAUCAUGACCUGAAGCCGGUGCAGAAUGGUGUUAGUGUCCAUGGUAAUGGUGAUAAUGAACUGGUAAGGAGUAAUGAGUUGGGCUUCCAUUCUUCCACAGGGACUAAGGCUGUGGAUGUUGCAAUUACC
rnacentral:misc_RNA from 1 species